rnacentral:lncRNA from 1 species
AAGGAGGUCUUUAGCACAAAAGUAAACAAACACAGUCAUUGCCUCUUAAGGAGGACUUCAGCCAAAUGCCUGCCAAAAGAAACGACAGGGCUUCCAAACUACAUGGAGUUAGAGGAUGAUUACCUAGGUGGUAUACCAACCACAAGCAAAGCAAAGCUCAAGCAAUGAGCUAAAAGCGACUAAAGUACCUGUACAAAAGUCAAACAAAUCAGUA